rnacentral:lncRNA from 1 species
ACCCCAUGUCCAAGUACGCCAUCAGAGUCAAAACGUCUUUGCCUGUCGACACCCAGAGGCCUUGAGCGUUCCCUAUGACCUCUGAUGUUAUGUCAGGGCCAACGGUGAGUGGAUCAUCGAAAGCUAUCACGCCGCCGAAGCCCGUCGAGGUGGUGGUGUUUGGACUGACUAUGGGGACUGCACUAGGAUUGUUGCCGCUCCUAGUGUCGUGUAAAAAGAAGUGGAGAUAGGUUACUUUUUGGGGAGGUGGAACGUAUGGUCCGGCAUGGGAGUAAUAAUCUUGGCAACGAGCUACUGUCAUGGCGGUGCUGAGACUCAAAAUCCAGGCUAAUAUCAUAUUUCUCUCCAUUGGUAAUGGUCAAUGGGAUUUCACUACUGCGUAUAUUGUAUUAUGGCACCUAAUUCAUAGGUUCCUUAGUUUAUAUAGAAAGAUAAAAUAAAACAAAACCAUAAAUUUAGUUUUUAAUAUUUAUAUUUUUAUCAUUUUAUUUUUAAUUAAAUUUAAUCAUUAAUUUUUUUAAAAAUAAGAUAGUUUUCUUUUAUCAAAAAUACUAAUUAAAACAUUAAUUUUUUAAUCAUGUCAGCGUGAUAACCAACGUGAUAGUUCACGUAUAUUUAUCCUAAUAUGAUACUAUUGUUCUAAUAAGUAAAAAUUUUAAAAUUCAAAACAAAUAUAAAAAAGUUAAAAAAAAUUAGCAUUGAUUACCAUAUGACUGUUAUAUUUAAAUAUUUAACAAUUUAGUAAGUAUUUAUGUUUAAAAAAAAGUAAUUAAAUUUAAUGGUAAAAUUAGGUUUAGAAUCAAAUUUAAUUAAAAGAGGAUCAAAAUUGAUAAAAAAAUAUAUAAAUAUUAAAAAGUCUAUAGGCCCCUUCCGUUGGGUUAAUUAAGAUUCAGUAAUACUAAUGUAUUUGUGCUAUGUACAAAUAUACAAUUAUAAUAUUAUUGGUGGAAAAAAAAACGAUAAUACUAAUGUAUUUUAUAAAAUUAAUAUAAAAUAGAUAAGUAAAAUUUAGGAUAAUUUCAUAGAUCUAUCAAUUUUGAAAUUAAAAUAACUUCAAUUUAUGAGAAAUAAGAAUAAUUAACAAAUUAUACUUCUAACUCAAACUAGUACGUACAAUGCUGAGGCUGGCAGCUUUUGGUUACAUUGCUUAAAAGCUUUCGCAUUCUUAAUCUGCAUAAAACAACGGAGGAUGAGAAGACUAUCAGAUCCUGCUUGGUGGCUUAAUCCAGCAACACGAGCCACGUUUAAAGUUUUUGCCACCUUUUCUAGUCCACCGUGUAAGUUAAAGAUCUUGAAAUUGUACUUGAUGUCAAAAAUCAUACAACCAAAGUAAUAAGUCAAAUGUCGCAUGAAAGACUUGAGAUCAGGCGGUAAUAGAUUUUGAGACAAAAUCUUCAACAAAAAUCCAAAAUCAUAAGCGCUGUGAAAAGUUACCCAAGUCAAUUCACCGAAACCCAACCCUGAAAUCAGAACCAUCAUGCCAAAAUCUCUUGAACAGAUGCUUUUUUCCUUAUUUCUUGUAAAAUCUAUACCUUGUCGUUUAAGUAACUCAAUAGACUCUUUAUCGUAAUGAUCUUUUUCAAUAUCAAAAUCUUUAAAAUUAAACUCCCAUAUAUAACAAAAAGGAGUUCCGAAAUCUGGCAAAUUACCUUCAGAAUCAGAGAGUGUUAAACCGAGUUGAAUGAUCUUCAAAGCAUCGACAUUAACUUUCAUGAACCUGUAAUUGACUUCGGGAUUUCCUAAUUGAACGAAUCUUUUUUCUGGUUUAAAAAUUGUACCAGGAAAUUCGGUAUCCAUAGAAACAAAAGAAUAGUUGUGGAGUGCACUUCAAAUUAACAUAAACUCAUAUUCCAAAUUAUUAGCAAAUACUUCCCUAACAAUCACUGGUUUGUUGACAAAAAUCGACAUUUUUUUUCUUGACUUAUACUUUAAACUGAAACUAUUGAACUCGAGAUAUACUUUUAGUGAUCUUAAGUCAGUUCUAACUAAGAUAUAUAUAUAAAUAUAAUUUUCAUAAUCCUAAUUCAAUUCUAACUAAUAUAAUUUUCGUAAUCCUGAUUAAGUUCUAAGAUAGUGUGUUAAUAUAUAAUUUCUUAAUUUGAUUUUUUUUACUAAAUUCGUUUUAGAAAAGGAAAAAGAAAAACUUGUGGAUUUUACUAAUUUGCCCUUGAAAGUUACUGCAAGUUAUAUGUUUUGAUGGGUGAGAUUUAGGUUUAAGGUUUAGCGUUUACAUUUUUAAGUUUAUGUUUUAUUAUUAAUAAUAAUAUAAAAGGUGUCACAAUUAUAUAUUUCAAAAAAUAUAAUUUAAUAUUUAGUUACACAUUUAAAAAUAAUUAUAAUUUAAUUAACCCCAAAGGCAGAAUGAUCAGUAUCGAAAAUAUCCCAUUGGUCGCGAAAACACGCGGACCCUAGGUCGGUUAGGGUCGGUCGGAUCGGGUUGUAUCAAAAUGAUGCCGUUUUAGCAUCGAAAAUUAAAAUCCAAAACAACACUGUUUUACAACUCCUAUUUAAGUCAAAAAAUUUCAUUUCAGCCUUCAUUUUAAAAAAAACCGAAACCUUCUUUUUAUUCUCAAAGCUAUCUUAAGCCGGUCAUAGCUCCGGCGAUCACCGCUGUACCGGCCACCUGUCACCGGCGAGGGCUCCGCCGUACACUGAGCCUUUAGUUUUUAUUUAUUUAUUUGGGCUUGUUAUUAUUAUUAAUUUUUAUUUUAAUUCUUGGUUUAUAUUUUGAUGGGCUCGGGCAAAAAUGUCCCAUUUCAGAGUAGAUGGUUAUUGUUCUCCCUUCAAUCCUAAUCUAGUCAACAACAGUCUAUAGCCUAUGUCUAACUUGGAAUUUUCUUCAAUGCUUUUGGGUUUUUGUAAGUCUAGUUUGUAGUUGAUAUUUUGAGACCUCAAAUGAUGAAUUUAGGUACUGCAAAGUUAAACAUCCGUUACCAUACCAAAUUCUUAGCUCAUCUUUAAGGUCAGAUAUAACCAAUGUAUUCUAUAUUUAUGGAUGAACAGAUGUGUUUUUGCUGUUACAAAGUGGCGUAAACCUCUUGGUUUGAAGCUCCCUUUUCUCACCUGUAAUGGCUUCCUUUAGUGUCAUAUAUCCGACUACCCAAAUUGCAUUAUAUGCCUCUCGAGAACACCACACAGCAGAGGCAGGAAAGUUAGAUCAGCUGAAAUCAGGCUGCAAAAUAACUUCUAAAAAUGGGUUAACUUUUAAAUAUUAUAACAAUUAAGUCCCUUAAAUCUGACACGUUUCAAACCUAACGAAAGCAACAGGGGGCCAACAUUAUUGGUGGAAUAAACAAUCACUCCUAAUCCAUAGAAGAAGAAAAAAAAACUAGCAAGAUAAUUAUCUUAAUAAUGAAUUACAGUCACAUUAUACUCAACAAUGGCGUCGCCAGUCUUGAAAUUCACGGAAUAAGUCUUGAGUUGUGCAUACCCUUUCGCCAUCCUGAACUUCCCUUUCCCUCCGACCACCGCAAGCUCACGCUCCGAUUCGGUAAUUGGAUUCCUCGACAAAACACUGAUAGAGCUGCCGUUGAAUUCACCUUUCGUAAACCCGAUGUCCAAGUACGCCAUCAGAGUCAAAACGUCUUUGCCUGUCGACACCCAGAGGCCUUGAGCGUUCCCUAUGACCUCUGAUGUUAUGUCGGGGCCAACGGUGAGUGGAUCAUCGAAAGCUAUCACGCCGCCGAAGCCCGUCGAGGUGGUGAUGUUUGGACUGACUAUGGGGACUGCACUAGGGUUGUUGCCGCUCAUAGUGUCGUGUAAAAAGAAGUGGAGAUAGGUUACUUUUUGUGGAGGCGGAACGUAUGGUCCGGCAUGGGAGUAAAAAUCUUGGCAACGAGCUACUGCCAUGGCGGUGCUGAGAAUCAAAAUCCAGGCUAAUAUCAUAUUUUUCCCCAUUGUUAAUGGUCAAUGGGAUUUCACUACUGUGAUUAUUGUAUUAUGGCAGCUAAUCGAUAGGUUCAAUUUAUCC